CCUACGGGAGGCAGCAGUGGGGAAUAUUGGGCAAUGGAGGAAACUCUGACCCAGCAACGCCGCGUGAAUGAUGAAGGUCUUCGGGUUGUAAACUUCUUUUGUCAGGGACGAAGCAAGUGACGGUACCUGACGAAUAAGCCACGGCUAACUACGUGCCAGCAGCCGCGGUAAUACGUAGGUGGCAAGCGUUAUCCGGAUUUACUGGGUGUAAAGGGCGUGUAGGCGGGACUGCAAGUCAGAUGUGAAAACCACGGGCUCAACCUGUGGCCUGCAUUUGAAACUGUAGUUCUUGAGUACUGGAGAGGCAGACGGAAUUCCUAGUGUAGCGGUGAAAUGCGUAGAUAUUAGGAGGAACACCAGUGGCGAAGGCGGUCUGCUGGACAGCAACUGACGCUGAGGCGCGAAAGCGUGGGGAGCAAACAGGAUUAGAUACCCCGGUAGUC
rnacentral:rRNA from 1 species